rnacentral:rRNA from 1 species
AACGAACGCUGGCGGCAUGCCUAACACAUGCAAGUCGAACGAGACCUUCGGGUCUAGUGGCGCACGGGUGCGUAACGCGUGGGAAUCUGCCCUUGGGUUCGGAAUAACAGUUGGAAACGACUGCUAAUACCGGAUGAUGACGUAAGUCCAAAGAUUUAUCGCCCAAGGAUGAGCCCGCGUAGGAUUUGCUAGUUGGUGAGGUAAAGGCUCACCAAGGCGACGAUCCUUAGCUGGUCUGAGAGGAUGAUCAGCCACACUGGGACUGAGACACGGCCCAGACUCCUACGGGAGGCAGCAGUGGGGAAUAUUGGACAAUGGGCGAAAGCCUGAUCCAGCAAUGCCGCGUGAGUGAUGAAGGCCUUAGGGUUGUAAAGCUCUUUUACCCGGGAUGAUAAUGACAGUACCGGGAGAAUAAGCUCCGGCUAACUCCGU